UCACAUACCAAGAAAAAACUAAAGAGUAACCAAAAAAAAAAAAAUCAAGAAAAAAAAGAUGUCUAGCAUGGCUGAGAAAUGGGAGGAACUUAGUGGGAAAAACAAUUGGGAAGGUCUAUUAAAUCCAUUGGAUGUUGAUCUUCGUAAAUAUAUCAUUCAAUAUGGAGAAAAAGCUGAAGUGACUUACGACACCUUCAUUUCUGAUAAAGUAUCUAAAUAUGCAGGAGCUAGCAGAUACUCGAUGGAAAAUCUUUUCUCUAAUGUUGGCCUUGACCCAUCGAAGUAUCGUGUAACCAAAUAUUUCUAUGCUACCUCAUCCAUGCCACUUCCUGAUGCUUUCAUUACGAAAUCAUUGUCAAGGGAAGCAUGGAGUAAGGAAUCAAAUUUUAUGGGAUAUGUUGCUGUGUCUACUGAUGAGGGUAAAGUUUCACUAGGAAGAAGAGAUAUUGUGAUUGCUUGGAGAGGAACAAUUCAAACACUGGAGUGGGUUAAUGACCUUCAAUUUUUACCAAUUCCAGGACCAAAAGUGUUUGGUGAUGGGGGUUUACUUCCUUUGUUCAAACCAUUGGUGCAUCAUGGCUUCUACAACGUUUAUACAUCAGAAAGUGCACGAUCAAAGUUUAAUAAAAAAAGUGCUAGAGAUCAGGUCCUUGAAGAAGUGAAGAGAUUGGUCGAGGAAUAUAAGAAUGAAGAGGUGAGCAUAACUGUGACUGGGCAUAGCCUAGGUGCAUCCCUUGCGACUCUGAAUGCAGUUGACAUAGCUUACAAUAAAAUCAACAAGUCAAGUCAUGGGAAGGAAUUCCCAGUGACAGCUUUUGUAUUUGCAAGUCCUAAAGUUGGAGAUCUCAAUUUUUUAAACGCAUUUAACAAAUUGAAACACCUUCACGUUAUGAGAAUUCAUAACAUAUUGGAUAUUGUUCCAAAAUACCCACCUAUUGGCUAUCUCGACGUUGGGUAGGAAAUAAUAAUCGACACCACAAAAUCCCCUUAUUUAAAUUUCCCUGGAGAUAUCCUCACAUGGCAUAAUUUGGAGUGUUACAUGCAUGGAGUUGCGGGAACUCAAGGUAUAGGACUUUUAACAGGUUUUAAACUAGAGGUGGAUCGUGAUAUCGCGCUUGUUAACAAAUCUUCAGGUGCAUUGAAAAGUGAGUAUCUUGUCCCAGCAAAUUGGUGGACUGUGAAGAACAAAGGAAUGGUUCAACAAGAAGAUGGAAAAUGGGUUCUCAAUGAUCGAGAGGAGUAUGACAUAGUUGUGGCUGAGGUUUAAUUUAAUUUGGAGUUUAAUGUACUUGCUAUUUUAAUUUUAUUUCUUUAAUUCCAUGUAAUGUUUGAAUAAAGGGUUAUUACGAACACAUCAUAUGCAAUAAUACAUAUGACUGUGUUGUAAUUAAGUUGUACUUUCUGCACCUUAAGUUAAACUUGUUUAUGUUUUUAAGAA